CCAGGGGGGGAGAGUGUGGCAAUGUGAAAAAAAUAAAAAAAAAAAGAAAAAAAUAGCACCUUAUGUUUUGAAUGGAUACACAGUAUUUGUUUACUUCCGUUUUUUGGGAAUGGAUGACGUGCUAUAGUCACGUGGUGAAGGAAAGGAGAUAAAAGGGAGUGUGACGAGCCCGGAAGUACCGCGUCUAAGAAAUGUUUGUUUACCUGGUGUGAGUGUUGGCCUGCUGUGGGAGGACGGACGGCGUUUGGUCAGGAGAAGAAGUGCUUGUUGUUAUUACCGGAGCGAGCGACACGGAGCUUUGCUCAGAUUCUCAGAUUCCCGGAUCGACAGCUUAUGAGCUAAACUAUCGACCGAAUGAGAUUCGCCGACUUUGUGUGUCCCAGAGGUUCCUUACACUCCACUUCAGUGAGAUUCAUCACAGCAAAACUUGGUUCGGAAACGAACCAGAGACGCGGUCACUACAGGAUUGUGAAGACGUGUUUUUUUGUGUUUUUUUAUGAAUGAACUAAUAAACUGCAUUGAUGUGGACUGCUA